rnacentral:rRNA from 1 species
UACAGGGGGGGCAAGCGUUGUUCGGAAUUACUGGGCGUAAAGGGCUCGUAGGCGGCCAACUAAGUCCGACGUGAAAUCCCAAAGCUUAACUUUGGAACUGCGUCGGAUACUGGAUGGCUUGAAUUCGGGAGAGGGAUGCAGAAUUCCAGGUGUAGCGGUGAAAUGCGUAGAUAUCGUGAGGAACACCAGAGGCGAAGGCGGCUACCUGGACAAUUGCUGACGCUCAGGCACGAAAGCGUGGGGAGCAAAAGGG